CAAGUCGAACGCGGUUAGUAGCAAUACUAACUGAGUGGCGAACGGGUGAGUAACGCGUGGGUGACCUACCUUCGAGUGGGGGAUAACGUCCCGAAAGGGACGCUAAUACCGCAUGACAUCCUGUCCUUGAACGGAUGGAGAUCAAAGCUGGGGAUCGCAAGACCCGGCGCUUGAUGAGGGGCCCGCGUCCGAUUAGCUAGUUGGUGAGGUAACGGCUCACCAAGGCGACGAUCGGUAUCCGGCCUGAGAGGGCGGACGGACACACUGGGACUGAGACACGGCCCAGACUCCUACGGGAGGCAGCAGUGGGGAAUUGUUCGCAAUGGGCGCAAGCCUGACGACGCAAUGCCGCGUGGAGGAUGAAGGUCUUCGGAUUGUAAACUCCUGUUGCCAGGGACGAAUGGCUCCGACCUAACACGUCGGAGAAUGACGGUACCUGGUGAGGAAGCCCCGGCUAACUCUGUGCCAGCAGCCGCGGUAAUACAGAGGGGGCGAGCGUUGUUCGGAAUUACUGGGCGUAAAGGGCGCGUAGGCGGCCUCUUAAGUCGAACGUGAAAUCCCCGGGCUCAACCCGGGAACUGCGUCCGAUACUGGGAGGCUUGAAUCCGGGAGAGGGAUGUGGAAUUCCAGGUGUAGCGGUGAAAUGCGUAGAUAUCUGGAGGAACACCGGUGGCGAAGGCGGCAUCCUGGACCGGUAUUGACGCUGAGGCGCGAAAGCUAGGGGAGCAAACGGGAUUAGAUACCCCGGUAGUCCUAGCCCUAAACGAUGAAUGCUUGGUGUGGCGGGUAUCGAUCCCUGCCGUGCCGAAGCUAACGCAUUAAGCAUUCCGCCUGGGGAGUACGGUCGCAAGGCUGAAACUCAACGGAAUUGACGGGG
rnacentral:rRNA from 1 species